UCCCCAGUUGCACAAUCGGUUAGCGCGCCGUACUUAUAAUGCGGAGGUUGUGAGUUCGAGCCUCACCUGGGGAA
rnacentral:tRNA from 1 species